ACAAAGAAAGCUACACAGCAAUUCGGUUUCGGCCCGAAUCAAGAAUUUGUAAAAUUCUCUUUGCC
rnacentral:tRNA from 1 species